rnacentral:misc_RNA from 1 species
CCGAGUUUACAACUCCCAAACCUAAUGUGAACGUUACCAAACUGUUGCCUCGGCGGGGUCACGCCCCGGGUGCGUAAAAGCCCCGGAACCAGGCGCCCGCCGGAGGAACCAACCAAACUCUUUCUGUAGUCCCCUCGCGGACGUAUUUCUUACAGCUCUGAGCAAAAAUUCAAAAUGAAUCA